GAUGAACGCUGGCGGCGUGCCUAAUACAUGCAAGUCGAGCGAACAGACGAGGAGCUUGCUCCUCUGACGUUAGCGGCGGACGGGUGAGUAACACGUGGAUAACCUACCUAUAAGACUGGGAUAACUUCGGGAAACCGGAUCUAAUACCGGAUAAUAUACUGAACCGCAUGGUUCAAUAGUGAAAGACGGUUUUGCUGUCACUUAUAGAUGGAUCCGCGCCGCAUUAGCUAGUUGGUAAGGUAACGGCUUACCAAGGCAACGAUGCGUAGCCGACCUGAGAGGGUGAUCGGCCACACGGGAGCUGGGACACGGUCAAGACUCCUACGGGAGGCAGCAGUAGGGAAUCGUACGCAAUGGGCGAAAGCAUGACGGAGCAAGGCCGCGUGAGUGACGAAGGUCUUCGGAUCGUAAAACUCGGUUAUUAGGGAAGAACAAAUGUGUAAGUAAAUAUGCACGUAUUGACGGUACCUAAACAGAAAGCCACGGCUAACUACGUG
rnacentral:rRNA from 1 species